GCCGCUGUGGCGGAAUUGGCAUACGCGCGCGACUCAAAAUCGCGUGUCCUUACGGGCUUGUGGGUUCAACUCCCACCAGCGGCA
rnacentral:tRNA from 1 species